GGUGCCGGGAGUUGGAGCACCUGCUUGCCGUUUGUGCCCUCCACAGGGACGGGUCCAGAAUUGUCACCUGGUUUUCCUACCUCUCAGGACUGUCCUCUACCUUUCCAAACCUGUACAUGCUCAGAUGGUCCCAAAGCAGUUAUCUCAGAGAUCAUUUUCUGAGACACAGGAAGAUCUCUGUUCAGCAGGCAUUUAUCUGCUUCAAGUCGGAAAGACAGAUCUCGGCCUCACGUCCUGCAUGCUUCCUCUGCUGGAGAGACAGGAAGCCAGCUUGAAGGCGGCUCCACUCAAAAGCCACGCAAGAAAAAUCCUUCCUCAGACCCCUCAUGUGAGUCAGUGCUCAGGAGGACACAGAUGCACAGCUGGGGAUGGAGCGGAGGGACGGACUCCUGCACUAAGUGCUACGUGACACAUUCCAGAUCGCUUCCUAAAUAACUGCCUCCGAUUGGAAGAGCCUACUUCCGGGCGCCCGAUUCUUUCACUGAACGGCAGGAGAGGCGCGUUAUCUCAGAGCACAGCACACCUGCCUCUCAAGGCACCCCUGUGGUCCCUAGGGGGAUCCUCUCCUCCCUGACAACUCAUAUGCCUCUUUUGCUCAAUAGAUGCAGACAAUCUAAUUCUACUUUGAUCUCCUUUUUCCUUUCUCUUCUAAACCAUAGGGUGUUUUCCUACCCUAGCCACCCCCCCGCGACCACGAAAACCAUGAAGCUUCAAGCGCUGGUGAUGUACCCACAUCAGAUCCUCCUGAUGGCACACACGCCUCUCCCAGGUCCUGCGGGCAGAAGCGUCGGGGCUGCUGGGCACGGGGAAGGCAUCCUUGGGCUGCUGGGAGCCAUGAGGACAGAUGCAAUGCCAAGGACUUCAGUGUAGCUGCAUGAGCCAUGUCCUAAGAAGUGCCUCCGUGGGUGCAGCGAGAUGCGAGUUUUCAAGAUGAGAGAGAUCAUCACAUUCUUUCUCCCCACCAUGCCCACAGUCUUCUGGCUGAAGCCUUGCAUGCUAAACAUAUCAUCUCUGUUUCUAUGUUGGUCUCAGAACGCACUGCCUUUCCUGCUGACUGCAGUGAAAACCGGUUGGUUAAUUCUGCUUUUCACAGUCUGUCUGCGUUUCUACUUGCUUUCCUCAUCAGGGACAUUUCCCUGAGAAAGACAGGAGAGGAUAAUUGGCUCAUCAGUAUGGAGAACAGCAUCCUGCAGGGACGUUGGGGAGAUCAGAGGCCACGCUGCAGAUGGCCCCACCCUCCACGCCGUCCUCCUGCGAACAUGCAAGCCCGUGUUCCACAAAUCCUCAGGCUGUGCUGGCAACUUGGGGCCUUGAAAGAAAACACACCCUGGGCACUUUACCAUGAAGAAAGAAAUGUUUCUGUGAGAAGGAUUUUGUACAGCAUGAGUUUUGCCUGGAAUUCCCUUUAAAUAAAGGGGGUGGGGAGUGGAAACGCCCUGUUAGAAAACUGACCUAUGCACAGGACCGAUUCACGAAGAGGACAGAGCCUGAAAUUAGAAUUGUACAGGCACAGAUUGCUGGCCAUCAUGGUGAUCCCACAGCCGACAGUAGAGUCAUGGCACUCCUCCAACAAAGGUAGCCCGUUUGGCUCCCCACCCUGUCCCCACACUAACUCUGCCUCAGGGCAGCCUCCAUGUCCUGCCAGAGCAGUCAUAGCCAUCAGGUCAUGCAUGGAGAAGGUCCUGACGUGACCACGCAGAUACGCAGAUUCCAUCCCAAGCAGCUCCCUCUUCUAGACGCCAGCAGCCCAGGAUGCCAAGGCAGGCUGUUGGCUCAUUGAUCUGGAGAACUCAACACAGGAAGCCAGGGAGACUUUAGAAAAGGAAGACACCUGCAUUUCACCUGACUUAACCUCAUGACCAAGUGGCAAGGCAGCCUUGAGAUCCAAUAAAGAGCAGUGAAGACAGGACCUCAUCUAUUCUCCAAAAUAUUCCAGAAACAGAGCAUCUAAAGAAACACCUGCGUGCAAAAGACAGCCAUAUACACGGAAGCUUCCUUUACCCUAGAACGCACACUGCUAGGCUCUGCCACGUGAAAGGCUGGUUUCUGCCUAUGGGAAGAGGCAGUGGCUACCAUAAAGAAUAUCCAUAUGUGUGUAUGUACAUUUAUUUAGAGAUAGUUAGUAGACUAGAGUAUGCAUAUAAACCAUAACUUGUUAGGCAUCAUAUACCCAUCUCAUAUAUAUUUCUCAAAGCACAGGAAUCCAAAUAAUAUUUAUCAUAACAUAAAAAGAUCUGAGAGUAGAAAAAUCUAUGACUAUUACACAAUAACUUUCUUAACUUUAGGAUAACAAGGCAGUUUUUAAUUAGCGUGGACUUAGACUGUAACGGUGUAUUCUGAAAACAAAAUUCUUCACGCGAAAGAGCAGCCUAUGAUAGGUCUACUGUACAACAAACACGACUUUGCUUAAUUAAAUAGGAGCUUCAUCUGAAAUGGG